GGUUUAAUUACCCAAGUUUGAGGUAAUUCCGUGUUUCAGCUCAGUGCUUCUAUCGGCUCUGUGGCUUGAAAAUAAAUUUUGGAACGCUUUGCCGAAUGGCGAAGCACU
rfam:Ascaris suum AG00483, whole genome shotgun sequence.